CACCCUUCUUCGGGGGCCCAGAGUUCUCCGCUUGGUUACCUCUUGUUUUUCACCAGUGAAACCGUUUGAUUUCGCAAGAUAUUUCGUCACAUAACCUCGCACCGGCUUGACACACACGUACGUUUCACACGCGCGACAACGGCGACGACGACGCACGUUACAAUCACUGAGAAACUUGGGGACUUACAUACCGGACUAAGCGAACAAAAGAUUUUUCCGAAAAUUUCGGCGUAUUCAAAGGAGACUAGUAUUCACGGAGUUGGCCUGAAGCAGCAGGUAGUAUUUUAACCGUUCAAACUUUGGAUUGGACCACCAAACCCAGCAGCUUCACGGUGCUCUCUCGGAUCGUUCUUUCGCCUCUCGACAUACGGCAAUAUGGCCGUCGCCGCCGCCGCCUCCCAGCAUCACGCUCUUAGCUCCGUGCUUCGGAUUCCCCCCCUCUCCCUUCCCAUUCGCGUCUCACACACGCUCGCGCGUCUCUACUGCCCGCCUUCCCCUCCGUCUCUUUCUCUCUCCCACUCGUCCCCAUUCGCAUGUUUUCCGUCUACGGCCUCUCAGCCUCCCUCGCGCUCCAGAGCCUCGUCCUCCUCUCCUCACUCUCGCUCUUCCGUUUACCUGCGCGCCGCAUAACGCCUUCCCUUCGAGACUAUCUCCCUUCGGCGUUUGCAUUUUUUUAUUUCUCUUUCUCUUUCUUCCGUUCACCGUUUCUUUGCCCUCCCACUUCUGAUGGAGAAAGAGAGAAAGAUGAGAAGAGAAUGGUGGAGGACCCCUCAAGCUCCUCUGAGCCAUCGUUCCUCUCUCCUCCGUUCCUCGCUCCAUCGCUCUCCGCGAGGGACGGUGAGAGUGGUCGGCUGUGUGAGACGAUCGCCGAAGUGCAAGCGAACAAGAGAUAUUGCCGAGAGAGAGAAAGAGAGACAGACAGAAUGGAUAUUACAGGCGCAGGUAGGAGAGACGCGGCAGUGAAGUUGGCGCGCAGGUAGCUGAGAGACAAAGACGAUCUUAUGGACUCUCGCCGAUGUGCGAGCAGGAGCGAUCGUCUCCGCGACGAGUUGCACAGAUACAAACAGAACAUCGAAUCAUCAACAAGGCGGGAUCCUGGCCACCAUGGUAUUAUCGUAUUUCUACAGUCGUCUCUCUCUCUGAUCCGUCGCCUCUUUAUCUCCCCCUCUCCGUCCAGUUACCUCCCGAGAGGAAUAUCCGACGUAAGUUGCCAUGGGAGGAACGAAGACGAACACAGUGUACGCACACGUGCAUUAUCACGUCUCUCCGUCCACAGUUUUACUAUCUUUCUCUCUCUCUCUCUCUCUCCUCCCGCCUUGCCUCCCCUUUCUCUUUCUCUCUCUUUCUGUUUCGUUCUGUCGCUGGUCCCAGCUUCGAGCCGCCUUGCUAACCUGAGAAGGAUACACGCGGCCGAAGGUCCAAAAGCGGAACGAAGACGACCGCGCAGACGUACGUUAUCGCCGGCGUCUCGGCGUCCUUCUUACUUCAGAUUUCAUUCUCCGUCCCGCUCCGGCUUUCCUACCUUGAGAAGGGUAGCCGCGGGGAGGACCGCGAUAGAAACGAGAAGGAGGACACGCACGCACACGUAAAGAUUAUCGUAUCUGAGGCCCUGUGGCCUCUUCGCUUCCACCUCCUCUUCUCCCGUUCUUCCCGCCUCGAUUUUAUAACGCUCGCUCUUUAUCUUGCCACCUUGAGAAGGAUAUCCACAUACCAAACCAUAUCCGAAAGGGAUAUCUAGUAGAAGGACGUAAAGUCAUCUCGCCGAAUGUAUGCGCUAAAUAAGCGCCAGCCGAAUGACGGUCAGAUGCUUCGUCGGAUGGAAAGACAUCUUAGAUGCAUCUAUCUGUUAUAAGUUUUUGUUUUACAAUAGUAUCUUUUUUUAUCCGGCCUAUCGCUAUGCGCGCUAUAAAGAAAGCCCCUCUGCCUGAAACUAUCCGCCUUGGAUGAUCGAGGCAUCUUCCCGCGAGUCAUCGCGAGGCAGACGCGCAUACGCACACAUCAAAGCCUCUUCUCUCAUCUCUCUCGCUAAACGAACAUGGUGAACGCGAUGAACGAGAGAGAGACAGAGAGAGAGAGAGAGAGAGAGAGAGAGAGAGAGAAUCAGAAAAAAGCUUCUUUAUGAAGAAGAGAGCUCCAUCGUCUCGUCUCUUCCCCCUUUCUUUCUACGCCAUUGUGAGAAGGAUAUCCUCGAGGGAGAUUCGCCAAUGGUGGAACGGAGAGAAAUAGUACGUUCAUAUAUGUACGUCCGAUUGAUUCUUUCUUAUACGGGGCACGCGGUAAAAGACGUCUAUGCUGGACGCCGGAUGCUGGAGAGCGAAGUUGCUGCCGGUGCUGCCGGCGUAGUCGCGCGCGAACGGAGAUGGACUCGGGAUCGAAGGAACGAGAGAUACGAGGGGGAAUGUUGGGAUGGAAGGGUGGGAGGGAGAGAGGAUGAAAGAGGAGGGCGUGUGCGUGAGUCCAUGAUGAGACGAAGAGAAGGAGAGAUGAAGCGAGUGAGAGAGAAAGAGAGGAGGAAAAGAGAAGCCGCACGAGCGACGAAGAGAACGGGCGUUGGUUACGCGCACGAAGGGAGAUUAAAAGGAGAAAAAGAAGAUGGAAUUAAAAGAGGAAAAAAAGGGAGAGCCGGGGAGGGAGAGAAAGAGGGAGGAGGGAGGAACAUCGAGGAGAGAAAGAGAGAGAGAGAGAGAGAGGGAGAGAGACCUCGUGAAAAAUGGGCACCCAGCGAGAGAGGACAGCCUCAGGCUACGUCGCGCGAUGCGACCCUGCUCAGGGAGGGAUUCGUUCCUCGUUCGUUUGGGCUCCGAACGCGCGUAUGUGGAUCCGACCAAAUCGACGCGUUUAAUCGCCUCGUAGCCUAGCCCGGGUAUUUUUCUCACACGAGAAUUUCGAGAAGAUACGAGCCGCGCGGCCUGGAUCGUUUUGAAUUCUUCGGAUUGCGCCGACCCUUUUUCUCAGAGAGAUAGCUUGAACGCGACACUUUCCGUGUGACGGAUAAAGAUAAUUCGAACUCGCGCGCCUCUUUCCGUGGGAAUCGUCACGAUCUCCGCACGCUUGUGCCCGCAGCGUGGGUGGCUGUGCACACACUUGCGUAGGUAGCUCGAGUGGCAAAGGAGUAGAAGAGAAGGGGAAAAACCGACGAUCUCUGAGAGGGGUAGAAUCUCGAAAUAUUUUUUCUUCCCCCGGCCAAUUUCUUAGCUCUAUUUUCGCGGUCCAUGGGAUGUCCGUGACAUAGCGAAUUAGCGCGUAUCAGCGAAUGUAUCAGCAGAAAACCAACUGCGGCGAAUCAUCUUCUAGCACUAUCGGCGAAGAAUCGGUCCUGGACGAGCGCGCGUUACGCGCGCGGCUUUCUAACGUCGACCUCGUGAAAGCAGAUCGAAGUCCGAUCCUCGCCGAGAAAAUCCCUCUCUAUUGGCCGUAUCUAUCGACGCGCGCGCGUACAGUCGUAAAGCCGCCCACCUUUCCGCCGUAUAUCUUUCACGCCGACGGGAUAAAACGCGCUCACCGGUCGCAUAUUUAUGCAGAUCGCAAAGCGUGUCGGAAAGCGUGCGAGGAAGUGUCCAUAAUUCAGCUCGAUCAAAGGCGAAGUUUACUUUUGGAGUGACAACUACACCGUGUAGAGUGGUUCGGUACUUCUCAUUCUUAGCGCUAGAUCACCGCCACGCUUUGACCUAUUGCGUAAAAUAUUGCGUAAGGUUCUUGCUCUCGCGGGCAGAUACGCUUCUUUAAUUCAAAGAACGUCAAAGUCCAUUAAAUGUACUAUUCUGUCGACACACAGCCUGCUAAAUUUAAAAAGAGAUAUUUUAUCUUUCCACUAUUUGUAUAUUUGUAUACUUUUUUUUUUAUAAGAGCAAAAAUUACCGUUGGUAUUCGAGAAGGGGUUAAAGUUGCGCGCGGUUGUGAAUACAUCACACGCUCGUUUCAGCGGAGGCAUCCACGGCCGAUUCUGUCGUAGUCACCCGUAAUUACGCACAUCCCUCUGAAUACCCGCCGACAUGUUAUUAUCGGCGAAAUGCGCGUUCUCCUUGGCAAAACGCUCAUUUGUCACGUGUGCCGGGAUAGAAGGGGUGAAGGGCGCGAAAAUCAUGCUUGGUUCAUUAUAGUCUUAUCGUAUCUGCGCAUUCCCGCCUCUUGGGCGAAGCGAGCGAAACAAAAACCUCAGAUUCUUGCUCGGGUCUGUGGUCUCUUCGUCCUUGUAUUUCCCUGACAAGGAUGCGGACUUUCCGAAUGUCAUAAGUGACUCUCGUGAAAUAGAAUAGCUCGGCGGUGAGAUAGAAUAGCUCUAAAAAGAUAACGGCUAAUUUACAAAGAAUGAGCCUAUUGUGCGAAGCUUAACUAUAUUUCAAGGAUCUUAUUGUUUUGCGGUUUCAGAAUUAUGUUUAGCACACUUAGCAACUGUCUUAUAUUGAUGAAUUCCCAACGGGUUCAAUUUACUUGACGAAGAAGAGAUUUAUUUGAAUUUUUUUUUCAAAUGUAAUUAUUGUGUAAUAAGAUAUAACAUUUUAGAUUUUUUAUUUUAGUCAUAAAAAGACUACAAUGAAAAGUUUUCUUUUACGUAUAUUAUAUAUUUCGUUUCUCACAACGUUAAAUAACAACAAAAUUACCACAUAAAUUAUAAAUAGUUUCGAAUACAUAAACUAAUAUAUAAAAAAAAAGAUUUCUAUAAAGAUUAGAAUUUUAUGUAACAUUUACCAAAUUUAAUGAUAUAAUAUAAGAAGAGUUAUGAUCGAGAGAAUCUAUUGAUAUUUUUUACUUAAAGGAUUUAUAAUUCACUUUGGAACACUUUUUAUUCAUAUAUAUGUGUGUGAAGAACAAUUUAUAUUUUACUAUUUAAUUCCAUUAUUAUCAAUAAAAUGCAAUAUCGUUUAAUGAAUUAAAAGGGUGUAUCGGAUUAUGACAUGCGUCUGUGGUAUCUCGUUUUACUACUCGAAUCCGGCUGAGGCCGGUGAUGCAUUGAGUGCAGUCAUCGAAGUCUCCGGACGAGAUUCGGCGCGCCAUGUCCUGCGCGAGCGUUGAAGUCUCUUAUAGUGCCUCGUUGUUAAACGGCGGCGCUCGUAAGCAUAAUGGUUCUCAACUGGUUCACCCGAGAUUCAUUCAGAGAAACGUCAAUGUUGGAUCUAUUCACGCACGCGUAUAUAUAUAUACACGUACGUGUCUACACGUGCGCGCUUGUAGAUCGUCACUACCUGUUCGCCGAGAGAGAGACCGGUCAGCUCUUGCCAGUUGCGUACGUCUCACCAAAGCAAAUAUACCGGUGUGUUUACGUCUGGAUGGAAAAAUGCGACGAGGCAAAUGAAAGAAGCGACCGGCGAUACAUGUGUAUGUGUGUACGCGUGUGUGUGUCUAAUGAGAUUGAUCUUUGGAUUAUUUUGUUGGAAUAAUUCGGGUGGUCUUUUCAUUUUAGAUGUAUAUGUUGUACACGCUUUGUGAAAUAAUAUGUGAGGUAAUGUAAAAAAAUAAACAAUAUUAUACGCAUUUCUACUUAUAAGAUAUGGACUUUUCUCUUCCCAUUUCAUUCUUAAGAUAAGACAUUUAAAUUGAAGGAGUUUUAUGAAAAAAAAAAAAA